ACAGAGGGGGCAAGCGUUGUUCGGAAUUACUGGGCGUAAAGCGUGCGCAGGCGGUUUCGUAAGUCUGUCGUGAAAUCCCCGGGCUUAACCUGGGAAUGGCGAUGGAGACUGCGAGGCUAGAGUUUGGCAGAGGGGGGUGGAAUUCCGCGUGUAGCAGCGAAAUGCGUAGAGAUGCGGAGGAACACCGAUGGCGAAGGCAGCCCCCUGGGUCGACACUGACGCUCAGGCACGAAAGCGUGGGGAGCAAACAGGA
rnacentral:rRNA from 1 species